rnacentral:lncRNA from 1 species
ACAUUAUUCAUGCGCAUAAAAAGCCCAAACACACAUGGCUAUUGCUACAGCUGGAAAAUCUCCUCACCAAAACCCCUCAGGGAUGCAGGUGAACAAAGGCAUCAUCAUUAUAUUAUAUCAUUUUCUCAAUACAAGGCUCUGGAUUCAUUACAGCAUUCAUAGAGCAGGAUGGAGAGUCAGGGACAGAUAGUUAAAUGCUUUAGUCUGGGAGUGACAUGUAUUGUUUUUCUUCACAUUUCUUUAGCCAGUAUCAGUCACAUGGCCACGUUCCUAGAAAUAAGGAAGAACUGCGUGGUUAACAUUGGUUAAAUCUCUCUCUGCUAUUUUUCUGCUUCAUUUUUACAAACUCCUAAAAACAAAUAGAAGAGGUUAUAUUUGUUCUCUUCACUUCCUCACUUUUGCUCUGGCUGUAAUCCUGUGCAAACUUAUUUCUAACUCCACUCACCCUCCACCCCCAGAGAAAGAGCUAAUAUAAUGGUCACCAAGAACUGACAGAUCUUCGCUCCUUUGUCCUUAAUCUGUGGAACAUUUCCCAAACAAGUAACCCUUGUCUUUUAAAAAUUAUUUAAAUUUAAAUUGUUUAAAAAUUCUAUUCACUAGAUAUAUGUUCUUUAAAUUGUUCUCUUAGCUCUCCAGUAUGACCCGGUUCCAAAUUAAUUCUCACCACAUUUUAUUCUUGGACUUUUUAUUCUCUUCUGUUUUGUUCGGCACUGUUUGCUCCUCCUAGUGCCUACUUGCCUACUUCCCUCCCUCCCUCCCUUCAUUUUUUUGUAUUUAUUUUCCAUCAUAUUGUCAUGCUUUUUCCAUUUUUUCUCUUGUUUCUUUGGGAGUGUUUUUCUUAUUUAUUUAUAAUUGUUAGUAAUAAUAAAAUAAUGAUAA